AAGACGCCCGUACGGAGGCCAAGUUGGGAGCAUUAAUAAGAUCAGCAAGGGAAAAAUUCAGCUGGGGAGCCGUCACAUUUCGGGAGGGACUGGAGCCCAGACAACGGCCUCUCGCCUCAGAGGAUCUCCUGUCGGCACCACUGUGGCUGCUGCCCAAGCCUCCCCCAAAGAGAGCAGCUUGAGGAUUCCCCAGUGAUGCCAGCUGGCGGAAGGAAGAGGCAUUGGGUGACGGUGCAAAGAUGAAUUUCAGAUCGUCUGGAUCUCAGCUGAAGAACUGUAUGAGGCUCCAGAUCUAGCUCCCGGAUGAAGAAGCAGACAACAUCCUGGCGGUUACCGGCUGUGAUCCCUCGCAGUGCUGCCCCACUGCCCAUUCUCCGUACGGGCAUGGCUCCUUCCCGGCCUGGUUUGGCACAGAAGC